rnacentral:rRNA from 1 species
CCUACGGGAGGCAGCAGUGAGGAAUAUUGGUCAAUGGGCGCUAGCCUGAACCAGCCAAGCCGCGUGAAGGAUGACUGUCCUGUGGGUUGUAAACUUCUUUUAUCUGGGAAUAAAGUGCAGUAUGUAUACUGCUUUGCAUGUACCUUAUGAAUAAGGAUCGGCUAACUCCGUGCCAGCAGCCGCGGUAAUACGGAGGAUCCGAGCGUUAUCCGGAUUUAUUGGGUUUAAAGGGAGCGUAGGCGGGUUGUUAAGUCAGUUGUGAAAGUGUGCGGCUCAAACGUAACAUUGCAGUUGAUACUGGCAUCCUUGAGUACAAGAGAGGUAUGCGGAAUUCGUGGUGUAGCGGUGAAAUGCGUAGAUAUCACGAAGAACUCCGAUUGCGAAGGCAGCCUGCUGGAUUGUAACUGACGCUGAGGCUCGAAAGUGUGGGUAUCAAACAGGAUUAGAUACCCUAGUAGUC